CUCUCUCUCUCUCUCUCUCUCUCUGUCUCCGUGUCUCUCCCCCCCUACUCUCUUUCUCCGCAUACGCGCGUUCCGCUCAUGGAAUUCAAAACAAACGACACUCUUUUUCGACCUUAUCGUAACCUCUUUAUACGCGAUCGUACAUCGCGAGUACUAUUUCUAAGAAAAAUCAAAUCAAAACAAGAGAUUGCGUCUCUUACUAGUAAGAAAAGGAUCCUUCGUUUUGUUUUCUUCUACGUGGAAAUGAUUCUUCCUGGGAGAAGCACAACGAAAGAGAUAUUCCUCUUUUGGUACGACAAUGGAAGAGGAAUCGAGUAGACUCGAUGAAGAUUAUGCGACCCGACCAUAUUUGGUCGAGGUAAGCUAAUCGGUUGGGAUAGGCAAUGUUUGAAAAUUGGGAAUCCUGAGAGAUCGAUGAAGUCGCCAAUUUGGAUCGCCAAAGAAAUCCACGUUUGUUCGAUUUUCUUUUUUUUUUUUUCUUUUUAAUCGCUUUAAAAUUCUACAAUGAUAAUCGUCGACCGCGUUACUUUUGAGAGAAAGGAUGCCAUCGUUCUUUGGGUCACAUAGCCGCAAACGAUCUCUCAUCCUGGUCGUCUUUAUUUUCAUCCUUCUCUUUUCUCUCAUCUACUUCCUUCGUCUUUUCGACGAUUUAAAGAAAAACUUUAAAGAAUCCUUGUAUCUUGCGAACGUAUCUAUGAGUCUCGGCUUGUUCCUGAUCAAACAUUUUGAUACGAUUCAACGGUCUAAGAUCGCGUUCGGAGUGCAUCGAAACAAUGAGCAUUGCCGAGAAUUUACCGUGAGAUAUUUUUUGACCUAUCUUAUUUUCAUUGUUUCUCUUCCGUUACAUGAUUUUUUUUUUCCUUUUUUUUUUUUAUGCUCGAACAAGGACUGGAAUACGUAAGAAUGACGAGUUUGCUCUCUUACCAAACUUCUUUCAUCGAUAACUGGAAUAAUUGUUUUUCUUUUUGUCUUUUCUAUCUUGUCAUUUGUUCGAUUGGACCUUUCGAAUGGUCGUAAGCGAAAGCGUUUCGUUUGCAAAAUUCCUCACCUUUGCGAUGCUCCCAAUGCCUAUAAUUCGAUCCAAUUAAUGAACUUUUCUUAUGCACGGUUGAAAGAAUCGUUGACCGCUCGAUCGAAAGUGGAAAAACGAUUGACCGAUAAAAUGCGUUCGUUCGCUCGGCGAUGGACGUAUCGCGCAUGGACAAAACAUUUCACGCUUAUUUACGCGUAGUCUGCCUUUAAGAGGAAGAGCCAUUUUACUUUUUUUCCACGAUACACUUAAGAAUUCUCGCUGCGUGAGUACACUUAUUCUAAACUAAAUUAUUUAUAAGAAGAUAGUAGAUGCACGUUUAAUGCCUCUUAAAUGGUCGAUCCCUCUCUCUCUCUCUCUCUCUCUCUCUCUCACUUUAUCUCGUAUCAUGCAAUGCGCUAUGCAUUUUUCCAAAACAAUAAGAAUAAUAUAAGAAGACGAACCUGCGUUGAGAUAGACUCGAGAUUUAGCCGUAUCGAAGUAACGAUGUAAUUCCUCCUUUUUGAACGUGCCGCCAAAAGUUUCGAACCACUUCUCCUUUUUUCUCGCCCACGAUCUGAAAAGUCAUUGAGAAAGAUCACAUAUAUUCCUCGUCGUUUCUACGUAUAGAUCUUUCGUUGGAUAAGGGAAGAAGAUUUGCAGAAGAAAUUAUCUCGUUAACGAGAAGAUCUUCACGAACGAUUCUUCUCUUUACACACAAGAUGGCCCUCUCUCUUCCUCCCCCGCUCUCCCCCUCCCCCCCCCCACCCACCCACCACGCUCUCCCCCGCUGCGAAAGGAACGAAUUCUCGCGGCUGAAAGGAUCUAAUUGGCUACUGUCCUUAUCUCGGAAUUAACUCUCGCUUGGCCAAUACCACGUCGUUUAUACCAAUUUCCAAAGAAUCGUAUUGUUCGUCAAGUCCGCCGCGUUCUCGAAUAAUUUCCAUGGUGAAUCGCGAAAGACGUAUUCACGUGGGUCCGUUCGUAAAAAGAGACGAUUCGUAUUUGUAAGAUAUUCCAUGACGUUUUUAAGAAUAUCAAGUAGGAACCUUUGCUGUUGGCAGAAGAGACAAUGCCAGGCGUUGUCUUCGCAAUCCCAACGAGAACAAACUUUUCUGCAGGAUCUGACGCCGCAAUCGUUGCAACUUAUACCGCGUCCGAUCAAGAAAGGCUUCAGGCAGCAAGCGCACCGCCCAUCGUCCGUAACUACGAUCUCUUUCGUUUUUCUUCGUGAGUCUGCUUCUUUCCUGAAAGCAUUGAUCAUCGGUCAAUAAUAAAUUCGAAACUUACUUUCUCGAGUAAUGAGAACGAGGAGGAGGUUGCGAGGACGGGUAAUAGACCAUAGUCGGAGAUCAACAUAUCAAAGUUCCCAGCUCGAUUUAGAUCACAUUGUUUCUUCGAGUGCAAUGCUUACUCGAACGACUAGUUACCGUCGACCUCGUAAACUUGCCUACCUACUUGGGAAACGAACGGAAAAGUAUAGUUAUUGACCUUUCGAAUAAACGAUGCAGCCCACAUAAUACGCUUACGAUUAACAACGGUCACGUAACUUCUAGUGUGCGUGGCAUCGAAACGAGAAUUUACGCAAGUAUCGCGAGUGAGAGAAACAUCUUUCUCGUCUUUGAAAAAGAUGGCAAUUCAUGAAAAACGGUAUUGUAUGCUAAUCUAAGAGGGGAACGUCGAACGGUAUCGAUGUAUAUUAAUCUAAGAGAAAAAUAUAUAUUAUAUUUAAUUUACUUA